UUAGAUUCGGAUGCGCAGAGUAGAUGGAUCCGACCCGAUAACACCCUCCAAAAGUACCGGCAAAUGUGUGGAGGGGAAACAAGAGGUUGAUGAUGGAAGGCACCACUUAAACUGGGGCAUUUCAACAAACAGCUGAUGUCCGUCUCCGAUAUGUCGCUCCUUCCCAUCGCUUUGCGUGACCCACCAUGGGGAGAUGGGAGAUGGUCACACUGCGUACUCCUGAUCUUCUUCCUUCAACCUGGUGUCCUAACGAAACCAGGAGAGGGGAUGGGGCCUUGUCCUCCUGCUGUGUCGGAUCGGGCACAACCACAGUGAUCGGGUUCGGUGUCGGGAACCAUCCAACCCCACCUUGAGCUCAGCAGAUGAUCAAGACAAAGCAAAAUCUCCAUCCGAGGAACCUUGCUCUUUCUGGGUAGUAGAUUUAACGCGAAGCAACAUGGAUAGUGGCUCAACUGGCAAAGAGAUUACUAUGGAAUGAUGGAGAAAGAGGAUAAUAGUCUUAAAUCUUUCAAUAGGACUAUUCAUCUUUACCAAAAUAUACAUAGAUUUUCUGAAAUGACAAUCUUAUUUUCGUUCUAAAA